rnacentral:rRNA from 1 species
GGACGAACGCUGGCGGCGUGCUUAACCCAUGCAAGUCGAACGGAAAGGCCCCCACCUUGGUGGGGGUGCUCGAGUGGCGAACGGGUGAGUAACACGUGGGUGAUCUGCCCUGUACUUCGGGAUAAGCUUGGGAAACUGGGUCUAAUACCGGAUAGGACCAUGGUUUAGUGUCUCAUGGUGGAAAAAUUAUUGUUUUGGUGCAGGAUGAGCUCGCGGCCUAUCAGCUUGUUGGUGGGGUAAUGGCCUACCAAGGCGUCGACGGGUAGCCGGCCUGAGAGGGUGGACGGCCACAUUGGGACUGAGAUACGGCCCAGACUCCUACGGGAGGCAGCAGUGGGGAAUAUUGCACAAUGGGCGCAAGCCUGAUGCAGCGACGCCGCGUGGGGGAUGACGGCCUUCGGGUUGUAAACUCCUUUCGUUAGGGACGAAGCCACACCUUUUUUGGGUGUGGUGACGGUACCUUUGUUAAGAAGCACCGGCUAACUACGUG